UUACAGCCCGCGCUGCGGCCGGGACGCGCCGGGGGCACCGGCGAGCGUCCCUCGCCCAUGUGCCCGCAGCCCCCGCCGCCCAUGGAAGUGAUGGAGGGGCCCCUCAACCUGGCUCACCAGCAAAGCAGAAAAGCAGACCGCUUGUUGGCAGCAGGGAAGUACGAAGAAGCAAUUUCUUGUCACAAAAAAGCUGCUGGGUAUCUUACAGAUGCGAUGAAGCUGACCCAGUCGGAGCAGGCUCAGCUAUCACUGGAAUUACAAAGGGAUAGUCAUAUGAAACAGUUACUGCUCAUCCAGGAGAGGUGGAAAAGGGCAAAGAGGGAGGAAAAGCUGAAAGCCCAGCAGAGUGCUGACAAGGAAGCAGUUGCACACCUUCAGACUUCUUACAAGCCAUCUGCUGAAGACUCUGAUGAUCAAAAUGUACUGGUUCCUGUUGCUCAGAAAUAUAGCUCUUCCACAGAGAAACAUUCACAGGAUAUUCGGGGUGUCUUUGACAGGGACCCAGAUACUCUUUUAUUUCUGCUUCAGAAAAAAAAGGAGCCAGUGGAAGCAUGUAUUGGGAGUAAAGCGCCAAAAGAUGACAAAACAAUAAUAGAAGAGCAGGCAACCAAAAUUGCAGAUUUGAAGCAGCUCAUAGAAUCUCUUGUAGCUGAAAACGAGAGAUUAAGGAGAGAGAAUAAGCAGUUAAAAGCAGAAAGAGCUAGACUCCAAAAAUCUCCAGUAGACAAGGAGUUGGAUGUAGACACUGACUUUGUCGAGAAGUCAGAGUUGUGGGGUCUGCAGCAGCACUCGGAAUCUGCUUCUUCAGCGGCAACUUGGCAGAAGUUUGCAACAGCUGCUGGGAAGGCAAAGGACAUUCCAAUCCCCAAUCUUCCUCCCCUGGACAUCCCGUCCCCUGAACUCCCGCUACUGGAACUCUCCGACGAUAUACUGAAAGGACUGAUGGAUAGCUAAAACCCAGGAAGAGGGCUCAGUGUAGUUACCCAGACUUCGGAAAAGGGAAAGCCACCCGGACAGUGGUAUCUGAGGGCAGAAAUAUUUACCACAAUCCUACUGUUGGAGAAAAGGCAUUAAGCAACUUUGUUGCAGUGAAAUACACAUCAUAUCUGAUUUGCUUCAUAAUAGACUUGGAAGUGCAGCAAGAACAUCUUACAGCUGUGCAAAUUCUCCUUACCUCUGUAUACCUGGCAUCUUCUGUGCUUGAAGGAGCAUAGGGACUGGAGGUUAGAAAAGGUCUAUAGAAACAGAGGUAAGACAACUUCAUUAGAGGAGGUGCCUUGUGCUGAAUUGUAGCUGGAAUCUAGUCCUGCUGGGGAAAUAAAAAAUGUUAUUUUUCAGUUGGAGCAGCUUAGCAAAUAGCCCUCUCCAUCUGUGAUGAGGUGACCUGUUCCAGGUCAGGCCCAGCUCACUGCUCCCACUAAAGAGCAAGGCCCAGUCUCUGCUGGCCCCUACCUGGUUGACUGUUCUGAGUCACAAGGCAGAGGAGCAUCGUGUUUUUAGUCAUGUAAGUAAAGUAAAGAAAAUAGCAUGUGCUCACGAGAUGGAAAUAAAUUAUUUAAGCACCUACCUCAAGCCACUGCUGGGGUGGUAGCUCAUGGUUGUUAACUACAAGACAACACUACAUGUUUGUGGUGUCUGCAAAUGGCAGCUAUAGGAGAAGGAAGCAAUUUUUACAUCUGUUGAAGUCAGGAUUAUUCAGAGGUGGGAGUGUGGGAAUUGCAAGCUCUACCUUCUUCACUUUAAGACUGAAAUGUCCAUGUGUAGCUGCAUAAGCAAAACACCAGAUCUGAAAGAAGCUGUUUCUCGGUGGGAAGGAUGGCCAAGUAGGGGCAAAACUCCCUACUGCCACUUUUGAAAGUGGUGUUAAAACUUCUCUCUCUCCUGCAGUGCAAAUGUUUGUUUGCUCUUGCACUGUGCCUACUCAACACGACUGCUGCUGAAUCCCAACUCCAGGCAGUAAGGCUGAGCAUGAGCGUGUUCCACUCUCGUGAGUGACGCUGAAUUUUUUUAAGUAAGGGAUUCUUCACUCUGAAUCCACAGCUAAGCAAUUAGUGCAUUGGAAGAAAGGUAGGUUGUACUGAGAAUAACCACCACUAGAGGACAGGUUUUACAGAUUCGUAGCAAUUGACCUAAGGAAAUUCUUCUCCCAUGGCUGUCAGCAAUUAUUUUGUGUCAUAACAACUGAAAACUGAAGUUAUUAAACUUCCAAGGGAGGUGUGGCCGGGCGCGGUUCCGCGGUGCUGCAGCCGGUGUCCGGUGUCCAGCCUGAUCCCGCUCCGCUCCCGCAGCCUUUGGCUGCCAC